AUGGAGCAGGGGGCGAAGGGCAGGCGAAGACUGUCGAGCAGGAGGCGUGAGGCUCAGGGAGACGCCGCCAAGGGACGCCCUGCGUCGCCGUCCCCACCGACCUUCAGCGGGCCCGGGAGCCGGCGUGGACUGGGAGCAGCCGGAGAGAUAAAGAAGGCUUUGACAUCCUGCUCAGUUGACUGGCAAGAAGAACGUGACUCAUUAGGCACCUGGGACACUGAAUGAGUGGCCUGCAUUGGAAAUAUUUUGAAAGGUGAGUUGAAGUACUAAGCCAGUCUUUUGGAGACUGC
rnacentral:lncRNA from 1 species